rnacentral:rRNA from 1 species
UACAGAGGAUGCAAGCGUUAUCCGGAAUGAUUGGGCGUAAAGCGUCUGUAGGUGGCUUUUUAAGUCCGCCGUCAAAUCCCAGGGCUCAACUCUGGACAGGCGGUGGAAACUACCAAGCUGGAGUACGGUAGGGGCAGAGGGAAUUUCCGGUGGAGCGGUGAAAUGCGCAGAGAUCGGGAAGAACAUCGGUGGCGAAAGCGCUCUACUGGACCGCAACUGACACUGAGGGACGAAAGCUAGGGGAGCGAAUGGG